UACAGAGGUCCCAAGCGUUGUUCGGAUUCACUGGGCGUAAAGGGUGCGUAGGUGGUUUGGUAAGUCCGCUGUGAAAUCUCCGAGCUCAGCUCGGAAAAUGCAAUGGAUACUAUCAGACUAGAGGGUCGGAGGGGAGACUGGAAUUCUCGGUGUAGCAGUGAAAUGCGUAGAUAUCGAGAGGAACACCAGUGGCGAAGGCGAGUCUCUGGACGACUCCUGACACUGAGGCGCGAAAGCUAGGGGAGCAAACAGG
rnacentral:rRNA from 1 species